rnacentral:lncRNA from 1 species
CGGGAGUCAUGCGUUGCCUUUCUUUCUUAACUUUCUUUCAGUUUCAGCAAACUCUCCGGCGCGCUCGUGCUCUGAUCUCUGUCUGCAUGUCAGCGCUAUCCACGCGUCCUCUUUUGCACUCACCCCUACUCCCCUCUCCAUUAUUAUUCUUCGGUCAAACUACCCAUUUCUACCGCUUUCACGAAUUCAAUUGAAUCUCUUGCCAGCUACCAUCGUCAUUGUGUUUCUGUAUUUCAAUUUUCAUCAUCGUAUGUAGACAAAUUCAUCAUUUAUAUUAAUAUAAC